rnacentral:tRNA from 1 species
UCCCUGAUGGUCCAGUGGUUAAGACGUUGUCUUCCAAGGCAAGGGGUACAGGUUCGAUUCCUGGUUGGGGAG